GGGAGAGGAAGGAUGUAGGAGGAGCUGAGCCUGGGGCUGGGCCACAGUGCUCCAUCUAGACCAAGGCGCAGCUGCUGGGGGCCUCUGUGAGUAUUCAGCAAUGAGAGGCAGAAUACAGCGGUUUGUGGAACUAAGGGUGAGGAUGCAGUUUGCUCCAGAAAUGGAAAUUAUUCCAGGAAAGUCAGAGAGAAGACGCUGCUAUUGAUGGAAAGGACAGUUGAGCAGAAACCCCAAGACCCAAAGAAGAUCAGAUCAGGUCUAGAUACAAAUAUUUCUACCACCCGGAAAGCUCCCAGGCAAUACCACCAACCUCUACCAGAAGUGAAGACUGUUCUUACUUCAAAUACCAUGAGUUAGUUUUGCCUGUCCUUGAGGCACAGGGGACUUCAUGAGGAUGGGGACGUCCCUUGGCUGGUACAAAGUAGAGCUGCCCAAGAAGCUUCAUAUCCGACUUUUUCUUCCUUGACCCCACUCACUGCUGAGUUCCGCUAUUAUCAUGUGUUCCUGAAUUUGUGUUGC